GAUGAACGCUAGCGGUAGGCCUAACACAUGCAAGCCGAGCGGUAGAGUUGCGUCGGAAACUUGAGAGCGGCGCACGGGUGCGUAACACGUGUGCAACCUACCUUUAUCUGGGGGAUAGCCUUUCGAAAGGAAGAUUAAUACCCCAUAAUAUAAUGAUUGGCAUCAAUUAUUAUUGAAAACUCCGGUGGAUAGAGAUGAGCACGCGCAAGAUUAGGUAGUUGGUGAGGUAACGGCUCCCCAAGUCAAUGAUCUUUAGGGGUCCUGGGAGGGAGAACCCCCACACUGGUACUGAGAAAAGGACCAGACGCCUACAGGAGGCAGCAGUGAGGAAGAUUGGACAAAGGGUGAGAGCCUGAUCCAGCCAUCCCGCGUGAAGGAUGACGGUCCUAUAGAUUGUACACUUCUUUUGGACAGGGAUAAACCUACCCUCGUGAGGGUAGCUGAAGGUACUGUACGAAUAAGCACCGGCUAACUACGUG
rnacentral:rRNA from 1 species